AUACGGAGGAUGCAAGCGUUAUCCGGAUUUAUUGGGUUUAAAGGGUGCGUAGGCGGAUGAUUAAGCGUGAGGUGAAAUGCCACUGCUCAACAGUGGAACUGCCUCGCGAACUGGUUGUCUUGAAUGCUCCUGCCGUGGGAGGAAUGUGUGGUGUAGCGGUGAAAUGCAUAGAGAUCACACAGAACACCGAUUGCGAAGGCAUCUCACGAAGGGGUGAUUGACGCUGAGGCACGAAAGCGUGGGGAUCAAACAGGAUUAGAUACCCUGGUAGUCCACGCAGUAAACGAUGAUAACUAACCGCUGGGUCGUAGUGAUUCAGUGGCCAAGCGAAAGCGAUAAGUUAUCCACCUGGGGAGUACGACCGCAAGGUUGAAACUCAAAUGAAUUGACGGGG
rnacentral:rRNA from 1 species